rnacentral:rRNA from 1 species
CCUACGGGUGGCAGCAGUGAGGAAUAUUGGUCAAUGGGCUUACGCCUGAACCAGCCAAGUCGCGUGAGGGAAGACUGCCCUAUGGGUUGUAAACCUCUUUUGUCGGGGAGCAAAAGACGACACGCGUGGCGUUCCGAGCGUACCCGAAGAACAAGCAUAGGCUAACUCCGUGCCAGCAGCCGCGGUAAUACGGAGGAUGCGAGCGUUAUCCGGGUUUAUUGGGUUUAAAGGGUGCGCAGGAGGAAGAUCAAGUCAGCGGUAAAAUUGAGAGGCUCAACCUCUUUGAGCAGUUGAAACUGGUUUUCUUGAGUGAGCGAGAAGAAUGCGGAAUGCGUGGUGUAGCGGUGAGAUGCAUAGAUAUCACGCAGAACGCCGAUUGCGAAGGCAGCAUACCGGCGCUCAACUGACGCUCAUGCACGAAAGUGUGGGUAUCGAACAGGAUUAGAUACCCCAGUAGUC